rnacentral:sRNA from 1 species
CAUGUUCGAUCUGCUGCGGGCAGAUGAAAUGGAUGUGGCUGUCGAACCCGCCGGCGGUGAGGAUUUUGCCCUCGCCCGCGAUCACGUCGGUGCCGGGGCCGAUCACGAUGGUAACGCCGGGCUGGAUAUCGGGAUUGCCGGCCUUGCCGAUCGCGCUGAUGUACCCUUCCUUGAUCGCGACGUCGGCUUUCACGAUGCCCCAGUGGUCGACGAUCAGCGCAUUGGUGAUGACGGUGUCGGCCGCGCCCUGCUUGUUGGUGACCUGGGAUUGCCCCAUGCCGUCGCGGAU